rnacentral:lncRNA from 1 species
UCCUUGAUCUCCUUCUUGCUCUGCUCAUCGACAUACUUUUGGUAAAAAGCGACCAGAGCUUUGGCUAUGCUCUGGCGAAUGGCGUAGAUCUGAGAGGUGUGACCACCACCCUUGACGCGAAUGCGCAUGUCGACUCCAGCGAAACGGUGUCGUCCCAGGAGGAGAAUAGGCUCGUAGGCCUUGAAGCGGAGGAUCUCCGGCUCGACGAGCUCGAUUGGGCAGCCAUUGAUCUUGA